rnacentral:rRNA from 1 species
GAUGAACGCUAGCUACAGGCUUAACACAUGCAAGUCGAGGGGAAACGGCAUCGAAAGCUUGCUUUUGAUGGGCGUCGACCGGCGCACGGGUGAGUAACGCGUAUCCAACCUGCCCAUCACUUGGGAAUAACCUUGCGAAAGUAAGACUAAUGCCCAAUGACAUCCCACGAAGCCAUCCGAAUGGGAUUAAAGAUUUAUCGGUGAUGGAUGGGGAUGCGUCUGAUUAGCUUGUUGGCGGGGUGACGGCCCACCAAGGCAACGAUCAGUAGGGGUUCUGAGAGGAAGGUCCCCCACAUUGGAACUGAGACACGGUCCAAACUCCUACGGGAGGCAGCAGUGAGGAAUAUUGGUCAAUGGGCGAGAGCCUGAACCAGCCAAGUAGCGUGCAGGAUGACGGCCCUAUGGGUUGUAAACUGCUUUUAUAAGGGAAUAAAGUGGGUCACGUGUGACUUUUUGCAUGUACCUUAUGAAUAAGGACCGGCUAAUUCCGUG